rnacentral:rRNA from 1 species
CGGGUGAGUAAUGUCUGGGAAACUGCCUGAUGGAGGGGGGUAACUACUGGAAACGGUAGCUAAUACCGCAUAACGUCUUCGGACCAAAGUGGGGGACCUUCGGGCCUCACGCCAUCGGAUGUGCCCAGAUGGGAUUAGCUAGUAGGUGGGGUAAUGGCUCACCUAGGCGACGAUCCCUAGCUGGUCUGAGAGGAUGACCAGCCACACUGGAACUGAGACACGGUCCAG